GACGAACGCUGGCGGCGUGCUUAACACAUGCAAGUCGAACGGUGAAGCGCCUUCCUUUUUGGUGGGUGUGGAUGAGUGGCGAACGGGUGAGUAACACGUGAGUAACCUGCCCCCUUCUUCUGGAUAACCGCAUGAAAGUGUGGCUAAUACGGGAUAUUCUGGGUCUGUCGCAUGAUGGGUCUGGGAAAGAUAUUGUUUCGGUGGGGGAUGGGCUCGCGGCCUAUCAGCUUGUUGGUGGGGUGAUGGCCUACCAAGGCGGUGACGGGUAGCCGGCCUGAGAGGGUGGACGGUCACACUGGGACUGCGCCACGGCCCAGACUCCUACGGGAGGCAGCAGUGGGGAAUAUUGCACAAUGGGCGCAAGCCUGAUGCAGCGACGCCGCGUGAGGGAUGGAGGCCUUCGGGUUGUGAACCUCUUUCGCCAGUGAAGCAGGCCUGCCUCGUUUGUGGGUGGGUUGACGGUAGCUGGAUAAGAAGCGCCGGCUAACUACGUG
rnacentral:rRNA from 1 species